ACUCCUGCGGGAGGCAGCAGUGGGGAAUUUUGGACAAUGGGCGAAAGCCUGAUCCAGCAAUGCCGCGUGAGUGAAGAAGGCCUUCGGGUUGUAAAGCUCUUUUGUCAGGGAAGAAACGGUGAAAGCUAAUAUCUUUUGCUAAUGACGGUACCUGAAGAAUAAGCACCGGCUAACUACGUGCCAGCAGCCGCGGUAAUACGUAGGGUGCAAGCGUUAAUCGGAAUUACUGGGCGUAAAGCGUGCGCAGGCGGUUUUGUAAGUCUGAUGUGAAAUCCCCGGGCUCAACCUGGGAAGUGCAUUGGAGACUGCAAGGCUAGAAUCUGGCAGAGGGGGGUAGAAUUCCACGUGUAGCAGUGAAAUGCGUAGAUAUGUGGAGGAACACCGAUGGCGAAGGCAGCCCCCUGGGUCAAGAUUGACGCUCAUGCACGAAAGCGUGGGGAGCAAUCAGGAUUAGAUACCCGAGUAGUCCCAUGAU
rnacentral:rRNA from 1 species